ensembl:lncRNA
AUGAGGCUAACUCAAUUGACUUCAUGCUUUCUGUUGACUUUUAGUGUAAUUGUACAGGCGUCCAGCUUCAGCUGCUGCUUCUGGUGUCAGAUCUUGAGUGAUUUUGAUCAAGUAAAGAGUCUCAAAUCUGAUCAUCAGGAUCUUUUGAGGAGCGUUUGUUUCCAGAAGCUUUACUUUCACUGCUCCUCAGCGGAGGAAUGAUCUUCACAAGCCUCCAGAACAUCUCACAUCUUCUGAGGAGCCUUUAUUUCUUCAUCUCUCAAUCACUGCAUUAUAUGUUUGGAUCAUUUACAUCUCAUCUCACUGAGACACAUUACUGGAGAUAUAGAGUGUAGUAUCUGCUGUACUGUUAUAAAGAUCUCAUUGAUUUACAUUAUAAUCAGAAUUUCACCUUACAUUUCUGUCCAUUUAAAUAUUAUAACUGCACCACAUUUUCAGUUUGAGUCUCUGGAUAAAAUUAUGUAUACAUGCUUUCUCUCUCUCUCUCUCUCUCUCUCUAAAUAUACAAAAGUUCACUUUUUUCUAUUAUUUUAUAUGUCAGGUUUUACAGAGUUGAGAAUAUUAAUUUAUGUCGUAUAAUUCUAGUGUCUAGUCUUUUUGUGAAUGUGGUAUAUCUAAAGUGUUUUAUUAGACAGAAUGUAGAAAUCUGCAUGUACUGCAGUAUCUGAUUGACUGAUCGAUCAGGAUGCAAUAUCUCUCCGUGAUCAUUAAUGUUUAUCAGCGAUUGGCCACCCACUCAGACUCUCACAAACACAGCAGGACGAGUCUCAGCUGUGAGUAAAACUACAUUCAGACUCGUUACCUUCCUGCUGUCACUCACAAACCACUGACCCCAGUCUGAGUCACACACACACACACACACACACACACACACACACACACACACACACACACACACACACACACACACACACACACACACACACACACACACACACACACACACAUACAUUUCAGCACAUGCUCCAAUACCUGCGUUCACAGUUCCAACAAUAAAAACGUUCAGUUUAGACAAACAAAUUUCUGCAUUCAUUUCUCAGCUGAUGGUUUAAACUGAUGAUCAGAUUUAGUGUCUGAUUAUCUUACAUAUAAUCAUGUCGUUAGAUAUGCUCAGUGUGCACCAGUGUUGGAGAAGCUACUGUGAAACGUUUUGCUAAACUACAAGCUUUCCAUAUUGAAGUAACUAAAAUAUAAUUACUAAUUGUACUACUAACAAUUUUAGUACUGCUUUAAUACUACUUCUACUACUACUACUAAAAAAAUAUUCCAGCAAGUAAUAUAAUCAGUCUUUCACUUGCCGGUCAACUUGGUACAUUUUUAUAGCAUGACUAUAACAGGUGUGUAUGUAUGAUUUCGGCCAUGUUUUAUCAUUUUUAUUAUUUAUUUUCAUUUCUAGGACAUGUUUUACCGAACUAGAAGUGAAAAUUAUAACUAUCUGUUUCUAAAAAUCUGCCCCCACAACGAGAAUCUUAAAUAAAGGAAGAAGAAGAAAAAAAAAAAGAAAAUAAAAAAAUAAAUUGCAGAAAUGAAUGAAAAUUCUAAAAUUGCUAAAAUGAACAUAAUUUCAACACUGCUUGAGGAAAUAAAAAUAUAUAAAUUCUGUUUGAUUGUUCCCACAUCUCAAACCUAAAGCUAUAUGUAUGAUAUGACAAUGGUUAUGUAAUAAUUUGAGAUGCAGCAAUGAUAUUUGUUGGAUGAAAAAGCUGGAAAACCAGGAAAAGUACAUAACUAUUUUAGUUAGUUACUCUCCAACAUUUUUU